CUUAGCUCAAUUGGUAGAGCAACUGACUUGUAAUCAGUAGGUUGGGGGUUCAAGUCCUCUAG
rnacentral:tRNA from 1 species